AUUGAACGCUGGCGGCAGGCCUAACACAUGCAAGUCGACGUAGCGGCGGACGGGUGAGUAAUACGUGGGUAACCUGCCUUUCACAGGGGAAUAACACUGGGAAACCAGUGCUAAUACCGCAUAUGAAAGAUGGCCUCGCGCCUGAUUAGCUAGUUGGUGAGGUAACGGCUCACCAAGGCCACGAUGCAUAGCCGACCUGAGAGGGGGAUCGGCCACACUGGGACUGAGACACGGCCCAGACUCCUACGGGAGGCAGCAGUAGGGAAUCUUCGGCAAUGGACGAAAGUCUGACCGAGCAACGCCGCGUGAGUGAAGAAGGUUUUCGGAUCGUAAAACUCUGUUGUUAGAGAAGCGGUAUCUAACCAGAAAGCCACGGCUAACUACGUGCCAGCAGCCGCGGUAAUAC
rnacentral:rRNA from 1 species